UGGUCUCAGCAGUGCUGGGUACAGGGGGACGGUCACUGCCCUGCUCCUGCUGGCCACACCUGGCUGAGCCAGGCCAGCAUGCCAUCGGCCUUCUGGGCCACCUGGGCACACUCUGGAUCGUGUUCAGCUGCUGUUGUCCAAUAACUCCAGUUCCUUUUCUGCCUGACAACUUCCCAGUCACUCUUACCCAAGUCUCUAACUUGGGGAAACUUGAGACUUACUCAUCUGGUGGUUUUGAUUCCAUUCCCCUUCACAAGAAAUUACUGCCAGAUGGUAUUUCACCAACCUCAAUCCAUCUCACAUCAACCUCUUCCAUUUUAAAGCUUACCAUCCAUUCCUUCUCCCUUUCUGUUCCUACAAGUUCUUUAGCGAUUGCCACACUAGCCAGAGGCUCCUUAAACAGAUGUGUGUUCUCCUCAAGUUUCCCAUCCUCCUUAUCUGCCUCUUCUAAUUGCCUAAAUAUUGACUUUGUUAAUGGGCAAUGAAGUAAAUGAGAAGACAUGUCUUCAGAUGCAACAUUCUAUUGUAGUUAAAACAUUUCUCCAUGGAAAUGAAAAUUAACAAUAGUAGUCAAAAUGUUAAACUGACCUAGCACUUGAAUUUUUAGUUUUGAUUCUUUACUAGUAGUGGAGAAAAACACACAUGAAAUACUUAAAUGAUGUAUUUUACUUAAAUCCCUUUCUUUUUUCCUUUAACAGGACACUUGGGAACCUUUCGCAUUUCUUGAUAAUUUCUGUUCUACAAGUAUUAGAAAAGUACGAAUGGUAUAAUAUUUACUGCAUACGUUUUAGAAGAAUGCAACACUUUUCUCCCACACUGCUAACAGGAUCAAGUACUUCCAGGGAAAACAGCAAGACGGCUCUGGCGAAACAUAUUUUCUCUGUGUGUGAGCAUUUGCAGAACUGCAGUCUAAGAAACAACACUCCCCUGCUUGAGAAUGCAGCUAUAAAGAGGAAAAGAGAGAGAAGAGAAGAGAAGAGAAGAGAAGAGAAG